CCUACGGGAGGCUGCAGUGAGGAAUAUUGGUCAAUGGACGAGAGUCUGAACCAGCCAAGUAGCGUGAAGGAUGACUGCCCUAUGGGUUGUAAACUUCUUUUAUAAAGGAAUAAAACGAGGCACGUGUGCCUUUUUGCAUGUACUUUAUGAAUAAGGAUCGGCUAACUCCGUGCCAGCAGCCGCGGUAAUACGGAGGAUCCGAGCGUUAUCCGGAUUUAUUGGGUUUAAAGGGAGCGUAGAUGGGUUGUUAAGUCAGUUGUGAAAGUUUGCGGCUCAACCGUAAAAUUGCAAUUGAUACUGGCAGUCGUGAGUACAGUUGAGGUAGGCGGAAUUCGUGGUGUAGCGGUGAAAUGCGUAGAUAUCACGAAGAACCCCGAUUGCGAAGGCAGCUUACUAAACUGUGAUUGACAUUGAUGCUCGAAAGUGUGGGUAUCAAACAGGAUUAGAUACCCGUGUAGUC
rnacentral:rRNA from 1 species